AAUUUUUGUACGAUGAAAAUCGCAACGGUUUUUGAUAAUUCAGAACCGUUCUCCAUGAUUCUGAGACAAAGAGGAAUAAUUUCUGUAGAUAAUAAAAAGUUGAUUACUUCUGGAGAGUCAUUUUUAACUAAUGCACCAAUCACCCCUAAACUAGUAAGGCGCAGGUAUUCAAAAGGUUUGGAUUUUGAAAGGGUAUUCAAAAACGGGUAUAGAAAUAAAGUAAUGUGUGCAUUUAAAAAGUGGAUUCUAGUUUCAGGAUGAGAAGCGAUACACUGGAGUAAAGCUAGCGCGUUGCACACUCUGUUACUAGUUGGUCCUGUAAGUGUGGGUGGAUUUAAAAGAGGAUAAACGCUGAUAAUUUCUUGCAACAAAGCCGUCAUCACACCAUAUGAAUGCCAUAAAAUAAGAGCCAAAUCUUCAUACUGUUCUCGUUUACGAGAUAGUUCGACAAGAGCUUGUUCGCGAGAUGUCCCAGAAACAAGUUGAAUUAUCCAUUCAUAGACAAGUGCUGGUUCAUAAUUAGGGGAUUCCAAGUUUUCCAUUUUUUCUAGAAUGCGGGAAAGAAAUAAAAAUGCUAUAGUUUAUUGUCGAAAAGAAUAAAAUAAAGAAUAAUAAUUUUAUAGCUGCCGGAACUAAAGAGCAACACCUAACGAAUUUGUAGUUCAAUCCAAAGGAUAGAAUAAUGCACUAAAAGGUAAAGAAAAGGUAUUAACGUUAAACGACAGUCAGUAAAGUGCUGAGUGUCGAGAAAAUGAUAAAGCUUUUAAAAUUUUAAUGGAAUUUCAGUCCUCGUGCUAUGCGUGCCAAACAGUAUCAACUUGCACAGCAAUACUGGACUUAAAUAAUUUAAAAUACAACAAUCUUAUAAACCUGAACUGCAAAUGCUGUUCCGUAGAUUUCGCGUGAGAGCAAUGGACAAGCACAGUGUUGGCAGGGAAUAGCAAACCU